rnacentral:rRNA from 1 species
AUUGAACGCUGGCGGCAUGCCUUACACAUGCAAGUCGAACGGUAACGCGGGGCAACCUGGCGACGAGUGGCGAACGGGUGAGUAAUGUAUCGGAACGUGCCCAGUUGUGGGGGAUAACUGAUCGAAAGAGCAGCUAAUACCGCAUACGACCUGAGGGGGAAAGCGGGGGAUCGCAAGACCUCGCGCAAUUGGAGCGGCCGAUAUCAGAUUAGGUAGUUGGUGGGGUAAAGGCCCACCAAGCCAACGAUCUGUAGCUGGUCUGAGAGGACGACCAGCCACACUGGGACUGAGACACGGCCCAGACUCCUACGGGAGGCAGCAGUGGGGAAUUUUGGACAAUGGACGCAAGUCUGAUCCAGCCAUGCCGCGUGCGGGAAGAAGGCCUUCGGGUUGUAAACCGCUUUUGUCAGGGAAGAAAAGGGCGACUUUAAUACAGUUGCCUCAUGACGGUACCUGAAGAAUAAGCACCGGCUAACUACGUGCCAGCAGCCGCAGUAAGAC